rnacentral:rRNA from 1 species
UACGGGAGGCAGCAGUGGGGGAUAUUGCACAAUGGGGGAAACCCUGAUGCAGCGAUGCCGCGUGAGGGAAGAAGGUUUUCGGAUUGUAAACCUCUGUCUUUGGGGACGAUAAUGACGGUACCCAAGGAGGAAGCUCCGGCUAACUACGUGCCAGCAGCCGCGGUAAU